GAUACUCUCGGACUUCUACAUUAGCUGCAACAUGAAAAAAAGGCAUCAAAUUACAAAGAUCAUAUGUAAAAAUUGAGAAUCCUAUAAAUAUUUACAAAGCAAACAUGUUUACAGCAGAACUGAACCAUAGAGAGAAAAGGAAUCUUUGGCAGGUGCGUAAGAUAGUGUUCAAGGAGAGGUAGCUUUGUGGCUUAGUGCCCAGCCAACAUCCGUGAGCAGAAGCAAGCACCACAAAGCUUCGAGUAGAUAACAGCAGCAAGCUGAGGAAUAAUAAUAAUGGAGAAGUAAAAAAGAAGAGCACAGGAAACAUCAGGCCAUCUAUGGCUCAUGCUGGUGAGUGAGGAAGAGGAACCCUAAGCCUACCACACAAGAGAUCCUCUCCAACGCCACACUGCAGCUGCCGUCCUUCUCCAAUUCAGCACCACCCUCCAGAGAUCCAAAUCUCCACUUCCACCACCGCCUCUCUUUUGCCUAGAUUCCACUGUCAUCUUUUGUGUUGUUUCUGGUCAACAAAAAGAGAUUCAGGGCGGGGUUGGCAUAUAGGGCAUCGAGGACUGGUACUGAACCCAGCAGAGGCGGCCUGAGCCCCACAGGGCCAUGCUACUUUGCUGCUUAUGGUCUCAAGAUGGCAAUGGAUACCCUGCAAGCGGAUAUCCACGGAUAUUUUCUAGGAGGAUCUGGUCUUGUAGGAAUCAACUUUGAUCGUCGCAUUUUGACCCUCAGUGCCCACCUUGCCUAGGGCCACCCCACCGACAAGUGCCAAGGCGACACCUAUAGGUCGUGUUUUAUAACACUGAUAUCAUAGGUUAUUGUCCGAUCUAUACCAAUAUAUUAAAUUGGAGUUGGUGGUGAUGGUACGGUCGUCGCUGCCAUACGUCCUCGACCCUUUCCGCCCGACCCUCUCGCACGGGAGUCCCUGGCACGCGGCCCGACCCUAUCCCCUCUCCCUCUCGCUGUCUCGCACCUAUCCCCUCGAUCAAUCCAUCCUCCUCGAACUCUUCUUCCUCGCACUGCUCAAUCCGCAUCCUCCGCGAAUUCCCAAUCCACCUCCUCCCCUUCAUCGCCAGCCUCGCUCGCUCUCCAUGCCAUCGCAGCCGCUGCUCUCCCCCGCCGCGCCGCCCUCUCUCUUCCUAGCCGCGGACGCCGAGUUGGUGACAAUGGGCGGGCGCCGUACGUCGUGGCUUUCGAUCCCGCCCCACGCGGCCCGACCGGUUCAGCACUCCUCCACCCAUACCGGUCUCUGCCUCCUCCCCGAUCCGCCUCCUCCCCGAUCCGCCUCCUCUCCCUUCCAUCCUAAUUCACGAUUCCUCCGUCUCAUCCCAUCGGGAGCCCAGGGCCUCCACCGUUGCCUGCCCUCCCUCCCGCCGCCGUAGCCGCCGUCUCUUUUUCUCCCACCAUUGCGGGCUGCUUUCUCUCCAGCUGCCGCCUGCGCCCCGCACUGCCAAGGAGCGGAGCUGCUCCAAUUUGUCUCCUUCCUUCCCAAUCCCAUCUCCCCCUCCCCUGGCUAGCUCGCUGGCAACGCGGUGAUGAUUCCCCACCGGCUGGGGAGGGAGCAGGCGUGACUUGGCGCGAGUGGUGGGGUGCAUGAUGUCAUGGCGAGCAGGUUCUAAAUAUGGGCAACCAAUGCUACUGCUUUGCAGCCUUCCCUGUGCUUGAUGGAAUGCUUGGCUGCACCUAAGAGUGGCAUGGUAUGUGCACAAGAAAUUCCAUACAAGGCUGGCUGCAGAUGGUUGGCAUGUUUUGGUUUAGUUGCUUCAAAGGAAGACUUUCCUCAAUCUAAUUUGGUGAUGCUUUUAUGAAGUCUGCCUAUAAAUUUGACAGUAAUAAUGUAUCACCGGAAAACUUGAAAAAGCAGGUCAGAAAGUCCAGCAAGAACAGAGAAGAUAGAUUCGUACCCAUCAUGCAGACUCAUAAUAAUUGGGCUUUUUUUGGGAAAACUUGGCAAGAAUCAUCAUUGAGGUCUGUAGGAAAGUGUUCACUGAAGGGAAUAUCUCCUUAGCUUGUUCCAGGAUCAAGAAAGCUGCAGCUUAUGGGUAUGUAUUCCUUUCUGUAUUUCUGAAGAUUUUUUUUGCAGCAGAAGCUAAUGCACAUUUGGUGAGGUUUAUGGAUCAUGAGAUGGAUGGAUCCAUGGUCAUCAAUAAUCAACAGGUAUCUUCGAAUGUGCUGUUACAUCAGUCCAGCAAGGCAUGUGUGAUAGAGAAUUGGAAGGGGGCUAGCAGCUUGUACUGAGUGCCUUCUGUCCCGCCGUUUGCACUUCUAGGAAGUAAUGGUUUUGGAGGCCUUUAAGCUAAUCCUCCCAAGUGUUUACUUCGAUAUAAAUUACUUCUCGACUAUUACUUUUAUAUCUUUUUUGAAUCUCAAGAAUCAUUCAUUCCAUAUGAUAAUACGUUCAAGAUAUAACCAAAGAUUUACUCUAAAUAUAAAAGAGCGGCCACUUGCUCCUCGCCUCCUUUGUGACAAAAAAAACUCCUUGUCUCUUUCUACUGGAAGCAAUUAAAUCUAAUGCAAACUAAAACGGUGGUAAUGUUUGUCACUGAAAUUAGGACAAAUUUACUAGCAAGUGUUAUUACUAUAUAAUAGUGGUUUUUAGUCUAAUUUUAUCUGUAGCGAGUAGUCUAAUUUGAUUUAACCGUAGCGAUGCAAAUGUAAAUGUAAUCUUGAAGGAAUUAUCAUUUUCUUGUGAGGAUGUUAUUUGAAAAGUAUGUCAAACUGCUCGCGGACUGCAAAAGGCUUUAUUAUCAAUUUAUUUCGUGGGAACAAAACAUGCCAUCCAUUUUGUUGAAUUAUUAAGGUGAUUUGCAGUGUCAUUAGUCAAGCAUACUGAUGAUUUGAGCAAAAAUGAUUCCGUGGCAACGCACUGGCACUCCACUAGUUUAUAUAACGUGAUUGUUUCAUCUUUUGUAUAUCCGAGGAAUGAAAGUCCGUGCAUCCUUACUCCAGCGCGGAGAGUACAACUACUAAAAAAAAGAAUUCCCGGUAGAGAAAAAAUAACCAAGGUGUCGACAAAGUGAAAAUAUUGCAGAACAGUAUUUCACAAUCAAGAUCGUAAAGCCAAACAAAAAUGUUGUUUCUCAAAGGAAAUUAAAGAUAUUCACUUGUUUGUAGUUGCACAAGAAAAUCAAUAAAACCAAGGAACUAGCAAUUUUAAUGAGAUUAAAGGUAUCCGUCUUAUCUGACAGCUGCAUAAGCAAGAAACCAACUAAACAAUUCUAUGUCUACCUACUUAUGUUUGCCUUUCUAGGUCUAAAUCUCAAAAUCACUAUC